UGUAGGUCCGUCCUUUGAUCUGCAUUUGGGUGAGUUUCUGAUUAUGCUCUGUUUUUUAAGCUGGUUCUGCAUAUUCAUCUUAUCUGAUCAUUGAAAUAUAAGCAGCUUUUCUGAUUUAUUUUCUGCUUCUCUGUGUUGUUUAGUUUAUGCCCAUUUUGAUCAUGCAAAAUAAACCACAAUGGUUUGGUAAACUAGUAGAAAGUAGAGGCGAGAUUCAUAUAAGCAGCUAUAGGCGGUUCAAAGAAUAGAUUAUAACUAUAAGGCUAACAAACGACUUGUUGCUCCCCCAAUGAAAU
rnacentral:misc_RNA from 1 species